GACGAACGCUGGCGGCGUGCCUAAUACAUGCAAGUUGAGCGCUGAAGGUUGGUACUUGUACCAACUGGAUGAGCAGCGCACGGGUGAGUAACGCGUGGGGAAUCUGCCUUUGAGCGGGGGACAACAUUUGGAAACGAAUGCUAAUACCGCAUAAAAACUUUAAACACAAGUUUUAAGUUUGAAAGAUGCAAUUGCAUCACUCAAAGAUGAUCCCGCGUUGUAUUAGCUAGUUGGUGAGGUAAAGGCUCACCAAGGCGAUGAUACAUAGCCGACCUGAGAGGGUGAUCGGCCACAUUGGGACUGAGACACGGCCCAAACUCCUACGGGAGGCAGCAGUAGGGAAUCUUCGGCAAUGGACGAAAGUCUGACCGAGCGACGCCGCGUGAGGGAAGAAGGUUGUCGGAUCGUAAAACUCGGUUGGUAGAGAAGAACGUUGGUGAGAGUGGAAAGCUCAUCAAGUGACGGUAACUACCCAGAAAGGGACGGCUAACUACGUG
rnacentral:rRNA from 1 species